CUUUAGAAUCUGACACUGUGGUGCUCACCCUUACCCCAUGUGUGGAGAAAAAUGAAUCUGACACUGUGGUGCUCACCCUUAACCCAUGUGUUGAGGAAAAUGAAACUGUGUGUGAGGAUUCUGCUGGACCAGAUGCUGCAGUGACAGAAUCCACAAUGGAUGUUGCUGAGUGUGAAGACAUGGCACAAACAACAUUCAGUGGUGAUUUGGUUCAGCACGCAGAGCAUGUCAAGGACACCAAAAACACAGAAGUUGUCCCAAAAAAGAAAGGGAGAAAAAGUUGUCAAAAGACACGUCUGCCAUGCGAGGAAUGUGCAGAGCGGACAUCGUCCGGAAACUUUCUUUAUUCAAAGAUCCUAAAAAAAAGAGGGGAUCUGGUAA